GGAGAACUUGACAAACACAUAUGCAUUGAUGCUGAUUUUUUGCCUGCAUCUUUGCUGUAAUGCACUACAAAAUGGAAAGUGCAACUUUACAGUGGCAAUGGUGCAUACUGCUGGAAAAGUCACUUGCUUCAAGAUGAUGGAUGGACAUGUCCCAGUUUGCAUGUCUGGUGGUCAAACAUCCCAAUCAUGUGACAUUGUGUACAGAGACGGGAUGACGUGUAUAAAGUGGCCAGCAGACAUCGAACUCACAUGUCUGAAGGAUUCUGAUGAAAUGCAUAAGCUGAAUAUUGAAGAAAACAAGUGUGCCCGUGACCAAGAAUCUUUCAGUUGCAAUGGAGAGUACAAAUCUGAGCCUGGAAAUUCUGCAUCAACCCUGUCAUUGAGCAUUCUUCUAAUUACAACUGUUAUUACCGUUGUCCACUGGGUGGCACUAUGACACUACUAAUAGUGUAUAGUUCUAAGACACAUUACUCAUACUUAAAAAAAAGAAUAAUAAUGUGUUGCAAUAAAUCAUUUAUAAUAAACACUGCAAUACUCAUUAAAGAUAAGAAUUUCCAUUUUCACUUCAUAUAUAAGUAAGUGAGUACGUGUGUGUGUGUAUAUAUAUAUAUAUAUAUAUAUAUAUAGUGACGGUGCACAGGUCAUCAAAAAAAGAGAUGUUGUUGCAAGGGGAAUGUGAAGUUAAUGAAUUUAAAACAUAAAAGACUUUUUUAUGGAAUACUGCAGUAUUCCAUAAAAAAAAAAGAAGAAAUGUGCAUUGUGAUUUCAUGGUGACUUUUAAGCCAAAUGGCUAGUCUGGCAAAAGCAAGGGAAAUCAGUAAUGACACAAACACAUGGGCAGUUGAGUAAACAUCCUGCUUGUUUGGUCGAUGCAAUAGGUGUUACAUUUCCAUCGGUGGUGCUAUUGAAAAUGGAGAUAAAUUCAGUAACAAAGCAACAACUGCCGUACUCACACGCAAGUUGUAGGGAGCAUGACUGACAGCAGCUCCUGGGGUUUAUAGUAGAGGUGACUGGGGUGAGGGCCUCAGGGGGCCAGUUCCACAGCGCUCAUUUGAAACCUUUGGUCCCCCAUGGUCUGUUUUCCCAGAAUGCCCU
rnacentral:lncRNA from 1 species